GAUGAACGCUAGCGACAGGCUUAACACAUGCAAGUCGAGGGGCAGCAUGGGAGGUGGCAACACCACCCGAUGGCGACCGGCGCACGGGUGAGUAACGCGUAUCCAACCUUCCCCUUACUAGGGAAUAGCCCGGCGAAAGUCGGAUUAAUGCCCUAUGUUCUCCUUUGCGGGCAUCUAACGAGGAGCAAAGAUUCAUCGGUAAGGGAUGGGGAUGCGUCUGAUUAGCCAGUUGGCGGGGUAACGGCCCACCAAGGCGACGAUCAGUAGGGGUUCUGAGAGGAAGGUCCCCCACAUUGGUACUGAGGCACGGACCAAACUCC
rnacentral:rRNA from 1 species